AAUUUAGCAGAGAUGCUUUAGUGCCUUCGGGAACUCUGAGACAGGUGCUGCAUGGCUGUCGUCAGCUCGUGUUGUGAAAUGUUGGGUUAAGUCCGCAACGAGCGCAACCCCUAUCCUUUGUUGCCAGCGAUUCGGUCGGGAACUCAAAGGAGACUGCCGGUGAUAAACCGGAGGAAGGUGGGGAUGACGUCAAGUCAUCAUGGCCCUUACGAGUAGGGCUACACACGUGCUACAAUGGCGCAUACAAAGAGAAGCGACCUCGCGAGAGCAAGCGGACCUCAUAAAGUGCGUCGUAGUCCGGAUUGGAGUCUGCAACUCGACUCCAUGAAGUCGGAAUCGCUAGUAAUCGUAGAUCAGAAUGCUACGGUGAAUACGUUCCCGGGCCUUGUACACACCGCCCGUCACACCAUGGGAGUGGGUUGCAAAAGAAGUAGAUAGCUUAACCUUCGGGAGGGCGUUUACCACUUUGUGAUUCAUGACUGGGGUGAAGUCGUAACAAGGUAAGCGUAGCGAG
rnacentral:rRNA from 1 species